rnacentral:rRNA from 1 species
UAGGGAAUCUUCCGCAAUGGCCGCAAGUCUGACGGAGCAACGCCGCGUGAGUGAAGAAGGAUUUCGGUUCGUAAAACUCUGUUGUUAGAGAAGAACAGCGCAUAGAGUAACUGUUAUGCGUGUGACGGUAUCUAACCAGAAAGCCACGGCUAACUACGUGCCAGCAGCCGCGGUAUUACGUAGGUGGCAAGCGUUGUCCGGAUUUAUUGGGCGUAAAGCGAGCGCAGGCGGUCAAUUAAGUCUGAUGUGAAAGCCCCCGGCUCAACCGGGGAGGGUCAUUGGAAACUGGUUGACUUGAGUGCAGAAGAGGAGAGUGGAAUUCCAUGUGUAGCGGUGAAAUGCGUAGAUAUAUGGAGGAACACCAGUGGCGAAGGCGACUCUCUGGUCUGUAACUGACGCUGAGGUUCGAAAGCGUGGGUAGCAAACAGG